rnacentral:rRNA from 1 species
CACGUAGUUAGCCGUGGCUUUCUGAUUAGGUGCCGUCAAGACGUGCACAGUUACUUACACAUUUGUUCUUCCCUAAUAACAGAGUUUUACGAUCCGAAGACCUUCAUCACUCACGCGGCGUUGCUCCGUCAGGCUUUCGCCCAUUGCGGAAGAUUCCCUACUGCUGCCUCCCGUAGGAGUCUGGACCGUGUCUCAGUUCCAGUGUGGCCGAUCACCCUCUCAGGUCGGCUACGUAUCGUUGCCUUGGUAAGCCGUUACCUUACCAACUAGCUAAUACGGCGCGGGUCCAUCUAUAAGUGAUAGCAAAACCAUCUUUCACUUUAGAACCAUGCGGUUCUAAAUGUUAUCCGGCAUUAGCCCCGGUUUCCCGGAGUUAUUCCAGUCUUAUAGGUAGGUUACCCACGUGUUACUCACCCGUCCGCCGCUAACGUCAAAGGAGCAAGCUCCUUAUCUGUUCGCUCGACUUGCAUGUAUUAGGCACGCCGCCAGCGUUCAUCCUGAGCCAGGAUCAAACUCU